rnacentral:misc_RNA from 1 species
GAACGCAUAUUGCGCUCUUUGGUAUUCCGAAGAGCAUGCUUGUUUGAGUAUCAGUAAACACCUCAAAGCUUUUGAUUUUUUUUAAAAGUUUUGGACUUGAGCAAUCCCAACACCAAUCUUUUUCAGAUCGGCGGCGGGUUGCUUGAAAUGCAGGUGCAGCUGGACAUUCUCCUGAGCUAAAAGCAUAUUUAUUUAGUCCCGUCAAACGGAUUAUUACUUUUGCUGCAGCUAAUAUAAAGGGAGUUUGACCGUAUUGGCUGACUGAUGCAGGAUUUCACAAGGGUCGGCAACGAUUCUUGUAAAACUCGAUCUCAAAUCAAGUAAGACUACCCGCGGAACUUA